rnacentral:rRNA from 1 species
UACGAAGGGGGCUAGCGUUGUUCGGAAUUACUGGGCGUAAAGCGUGCGCAGGCGGCUUCUCAAGUCAGGGGUGAAAGCCCAGAGCUCAACUCUGGAAUUGCCUUUGAGACUGAGUGGCUUGAGUACGAGAGAGGUGAGUGGAAUUCCCAGUGUAGAGGUGAAAUUCGUAGAUAUUCGGAAGAACACCAGUGGCGAAGGCGGCUCACUGGUCCGGUACUGACGCUGAGGUGCGAAAGCGUGGGGGAGCAAACAGG